AUUUUUAUAAGAGAGGGCGUGCGCGCCCAGUGUCCUCCCUAAGAGUCUCCGCUUAAAGGAGGUUUGUUUCGCGAGUUUAUUUCCUCAGAGAAACCAAGCGGAUUGAAGCGCUGUCUACAUUUCAAAUUAGUUUAGGUCGCGUGAGUCUGUCUGGAUUUAAAAGAAUGCACCACAUAUAUGAAAAUGCGCACGUGAGCAGAAAUCUGAAUUAUCACAGUUCUAGCACACAUUCAUUGCUAGCUUUUUAUGUAGUUUUAUGGCCUUUAUUAAACAGACAUUAGCCAAUCUUGCCACACGUUUCCAAGUCCUAAAUCAGAGGGCUAAUUUUUUUUUUUAAAUUCAUAGGAUUUUGUUGUUUUGUUUUUGAGACAAGGUUACCUGUAGCCCAGGCUGUCCUCAACUGCACUGUGCAGCUAAGGCUGAGCUUGAACUCCUGAUCCCUCUGCCUCACCUCCGGAGAGCUGGGAGGGACUGCACGGUUAUGCCACUAGUGCCUGCUUCACAGAUCUUUUAUUCCCAAUGGAGUACCAGGCAAAAAAAUGAGAGGAUGGCCAGAGCAUGAUGUCUGGGAGAAACUGCAGCCUUUCCCUAAGAAGUCUGAGACACAAGUGUAACCCACAUGCGAAUGGAAGGCGCUGAGAAGGAAAGGGCUGAGAACGGAAGGGGCGCAUGAUCACUGAGGACUCAGCUGUCACGUAGAGUUCUUCAGGAAGGGAUAUGGAAAACUACUGCUGACCUCUAAAGUACUCCCUGUGAAGAAGGGCCAAAGUCAUGCACACCUAGGCCUCAGUGGAUAUUGGCGGUGGAGAGGAAACAGCAGAGGACUCUUGGGUGCAGCCUCACUGCCUGCAGCAGAGAAGAAAGUCCCUCUCUCCCAGUUUCUGAGCAUUGGACUAUGAAAAUCGAAUGGAGAUCUGUGCAGAGACUUCCGCCAGCCUUGACAAGCGUAUAUGGAGAGACCAGGACACGCCAGCCUUGACAAGCGUAUAUGGAGAGGCCAGGACAACAGAGACAGACUGAGAGGAGAGAGCUGCAAGCGUCCACAUUGUCAUGUCUCCUGUGUUAUCCUAACCACUAACCUUGAGAUGGCACCUUGGGCAUCACAGCAUAAAAUGCCACUCACAGGAAUUCACCUGUGACAUAGAGCCCACUAAUGCACUGUGGCACCUCCAAAACUCCAAGCAAACUGGCUAAUUGUUUUUACAACUUUUAAUUUUGUUAUUUUGGAGACAGGCUUUCACAUAGCCCAGGCUGGCCUUGAACUCACUAUGUAGCCAGUAUGUCCUUAAACUCCUGGCCCUCCUGUUGCCACUUCCUAAAUGCUAGAGUUAUAGGCACAUAGGACCAUGAAAUUUUAGAGAUGGUGAUGUCCACUAUAAUCCCAACAUUCAGGAGGCUAAAACUAGCCUGGGCUACACAGCAAAUUCCAGGCUAGGCUGGGCUACAUAAUAUUUUUUCUUGAAAAACAAUGUUUUUUUUAAUCAAACUCCUACAUAUAUUCUAAAUCUUAAGGUGGGCUAAGAAUAUAAAUGCCAAACAAAGCAAAACCAUACGGGGAAACUAAAUAAGAAAUACUCAUAAUUUUGAUGUGGCUGGGGCGUGGGCAUGAUUGAGAACAUGGGAAACAAAUAGCUUAGGCUAAAUUUACAUGUAUGCGUACAUUAAAUGAAAUUAAAUGAAAGAGGAAAUGAGGACUGUAUUGCUUACUUUUUUUUGGACAGGGUUUCUCUGUGUAGCCCUGGCUAUCCUGGAACUCACUUUGUAGACCAG
rnacentral:lncRNA from 1 species